GCAAGUCGAACGGUAACAGGAUGUGCUUGCACAUCGAUGACGAGUGGCGGACGGGUGAGUAAUGCUUGGGAACUUGCCUUUGCGAGGGGGAUAACAGUUGGAAACGACUGCUAAUACCGCAUAAUGUCUACGGACCAAACGGGGCUUCGGCUCCGGCGCAAAGAGAGGCCCAAGUGAGAUUAGCUAGUUGGUAAGGUAAAGGCUUACCAAGGCGACGAUCUCUAGCUGUUCUGAAAGGAAGAUCAGCCACACUGGGACUGAAACACGGGCCAGACUCCUACGGGAGGCAGCAGUGGGGAAUAUUGCACAAUGGGGGAAACCCUGAUGCAGCCAUGCCGCGUGUGUGAAGAAGGCCUUCGGGUUGUAAAGCACUUUCAGUUGUGAGGAAAAGUUAGUAGUUAAUACCUGCUAACCGUGACGUUAACAACAGAAAAAGCACCGGCUAACUCCGUGCCAGCAGCCGCGGUAAUACCGAGGGUGCGAGCGUUAAUCGGAAUUACUGGGCGUAAAGCGCACGCAGGCGGUUUGUUAAGCUAGAUGUGAAAGCCCCGGGCUCAACCUGGGAUGGUCAUUUAGAACUGGCAGACUAAAAUCUUGGAGAGGGGAGUGGAAUUCCAGGUGUAGCGGUGAAAUGCGUAGAUAUCUGGAGGAACAUCAGUGGCGAAAGCGACUCCCUGGCCAAAGACUGACGCUCAUGUGCGAAAGUGUGGGUAGCGAACAGGAUUAGAUACCCUGGUAGUCCACACCGUAAACGCUGUCUACUAACUGUGUGUGCCUU
rnacentral:rRNA from 1 species